rnacentral:rRNA from 1 species
AGAAUCAACGCUGGCGGCGUGCCUAACACAUGCAAGUCGAACGCGAAAGCCCCGCAAGGGGUCAGUAGAGUGGCAAACGGGUGAGUAACACGUGGGUGAUCUGCCUCAGAGUGGGGGAUAACGACCCGAAAGGGUCGCUAAUACCGCAUAACAUCCUGCCUUUGGAUAGGUGGAGAUCAAAGUUGGGGAUCCGCAAGGACCUGACGCUUGGAGAGGAGCCCGCGGCCGAUUAGCUAGUUGGUGAGGUAACGGCUCACCAAGGCAACGAUCGGUA